UCCCUGGUGGCCCAGUGGUUAGGACUCAGCGCUUUCAUUGCUGUGGCCCAGGUUGGAAAACUGGUUAGGGAA
rnacentral:tRNA from 1 species